GACCGCGUAGCUCAGUUGGAAGAGCAUUGGGCUAGUAUUCCAAAGGUCGUAGGUUCGAAUCCCACCGAGGCCG
rnacentral:tRNA from 1 species